UAGAAGCUGACUGAUGCACCUUUUCUCAUGAACGGAGAGAUGGACUCGUCAAAAACAGGUUUGGGGACACAGGAGUAGUUGGCCAUCGGGUUCUCCUUCAUGUUCUUAAACGACGUGAGCUCCACAAUUCGACUGAUGACAUCAUCAGAGAGCGACAGGUCCAGGUACCUCAUGAUGCGCUCCACCUCCCGCCGAGGGUUCUGAAGGAAUAGAUAUGGUUGUGGAUGUGUGCAGAGCAUGUUUUGUAAUCUUUCACAUGGUCAUACCAGGAGCCCCAGGACACUGAGGAGACAUCAUUCAUAAAGCAUGCAUCGUGUAAACAUCCGUCAUUAAAACACACGUGUAAACAUCA